rnacentral:rRNA from 1 species
UACGUAGGUGGCAAGCGAUACUCGGAAUCACUAGGCGUAAAGCGCAGGUAGGCGGCUCGGUAAGUCUUUUGUGAAAGCUCCCGGCUCAACUGGGAGAGGUCAAGGGAAACUACCGGACUAGAGUGUGGUAGGGGAUACUGGAAUUCCUGGUGUAGCGGUGAAAUGCGUAGAUAUCAGGAGGAAUACCUAUGGCGAAAGCAGGUAUCUGGGCCAUCACUGACGCUGAGCUGCGAAAGCUAGGGGAGCAAACAGG